CGUCGUGAGACAGUUCGGUCCCUAUCUGUUGUGGGCGUAGGAAAUUUGAGGGGGUCUGUCCUUAGUACGAGAGGACCGGGAUGGACGUACCGCUGGUUUACCGGUUGUGGCGCCAGCUGCACCGCCGGGUAUCCACGUACGGUUUAGAUAAGCACUGAAAGCAUCUAAGUGCGAAGCUAGCCUCGAGAUGAGAUUUCCAUAUAGGGUCGUGGGAGACUACCACGUUGAUAGGCCGCAGAUGUAAAGGCAGUAAUGUCAAAGUCGAGCGGUACUAAUAGCCCGACACUUCAGUUGU
rnacentral:rRNA from 1 species